UGCCAGCCGCCGCGGUAAUACGGAUGGUGCGAGCGUUAAUCGGAAUUACUGGGCGUAAAGCGCGCGUAGGCGGUUUUGUAAGACAGAUGUGAAAUCCCUGGGCUCAACCUGGGACGUGCAUAUGAAACUGAGCAUCUAGAGUGAAGUAGAGGGUGGCAGAAUUUCCGGUGUAGCGGUGAAAUGCGUAGAUAUCGGAAGGAACACCAGUGGCGAAGGCGGCCACCUGGACUUAAACUGACGCUGAUGUGCGAAAGCGUGGGUAGCGAACAGGAUUAGAUA
rnacentral:rRNA from 1 species